UGCAAAUGACGCAAAAGAAUAUUUGCUCAGAAAGACAACGAUGACAUCUUAAACCCCAAGAUCACUGAUGCA